rnacentral:rRNA from 2 species
CUUGACGAUUAUAGUUGGUGGGACCAACCUGAUACCAUUCCGAACUCAGAAGUUAAAUCACCUAACGCCGAUGGUAGUAUGAGGUUCUCCUUAUGUAAGAGUAGGUUAUCGUCAGGC